AGCACAAAUGAUGAUUAUAAGGGACUUAAUACUGAAAUAAUGAUGUCACUUCUGAGCAAAACCUGAUGUGC